rnacentral:rRNA from 1 species
CCUACGGGAGGCAGCAGUGAGGAAUAUUGGGCAAUGGACGAGAGUCUGACCCAGCCACGCCGCGUGAAGGAUGACUGCCCUCUGGUUGUUAAACUUUUUUUAUAUGGGAGUAAAAUGUUCCACGUGUGGGAUUAUGUAUGUACCAUAUCUAUGUGGCUCGGCUCACUCCGUGCCAGCAGCCGCGGUAAUAAGGAGGAUCCGAGCGUUAUCCGGAUUUAUUGGGUUUAAAGGGAGCGUAGGUGGAUCGUUAAGUCAGUUGUGAAAGUUUGCGGCUCAACCGUAAUAUUGCAGUUGAAACUGGAAGUCUUGAGUACAGUAGAGGUGGGCGGAAUUCGGGGUGUAGCGGUGAAAUGCGUAGAUAUACCGAAGAACUCCGAUUGCGAAGGCAGUUCACUGGACUGCAACUGACACUGAGGCGCGAAAGUGUGGGUAGCAAACAGGAUUAGAUACCCGUGUAGUC